rnacentral:rRNA from 1 species
GACAGAGGGUGCAAACGUUGUUCGGAAUUACUGGGCGUAAAGCGCGUGUAGGCUGCUUCGCAAGUCGGAUGUGAAAGCCCUGGGCUCAACCCAGGAAGUGCAUUCGAAACUGCAAAGCUGGAGUCCUGGAGAGGAAGGCGGAAUUCUCGGUGUAGAGGUGAAAUUCGUAGAUAUCGAGAGGAACACCGGUGGCGAAGGCGGCCUUCUGGACAGUGACUGACGCUGAGACGCGAAAGCGUGGGGAGCGAACAGG